CCCUUAGAUGUUCUGGGCCGCACGCGCGCUACACUGACUACUUCAACGAGUUGUUUCCUUGAUCGAAAGGUCUGGGUAAUCUUUGAAAGGUAGUCGUGAUGGGGAUAGAUCCUUGCAAUUUUUGAUCUUCAACGAGGAAUUCCUAGUAAACGCAAGUCAUCAGCUUGCAUUGAUUACGUCCCUGCCCUUUGUACACACCGCCCGUCGCACCUACCGAUUGAAUGGUCCGGUGAAAUCUCCGGACUGGCGUGAGUCGGAGCAAUCUGACAAACACCGGAAAGUUGAUUAAACCUUACCAUUUAGAGGAAGGUGAAGUCGUAACA
rnacentral:rRNA from 1 species